CAUUCUUCCAUCACUUUCCAUUCACUUACUCUUCCCUAAUAGAAGCCUUCCUUUACAACAGAUAGGUAGAGCUGAGCAAAUCAGUGCCACCUAUUAGUCAUGUCUAGAGACACGUCUAAUUUGUCGUCUUUCGCUGAUGGAUUACUGCUCUGCCGAGAGGCCGCGGGCAUACAGCCCAGCGGGCAUUCUGGCUGGGAAGCUGAAGACAUCAUUGACCCCUUAGUAGCGCAGGCUUCUGAAGUGGCUGCAACCUCUCCUGCCUCAAAACCUCACCCACCAGUGGUGGGCAAAGUGACUCAUCACAGCAUUGAACUAUACUGGGAUUUGGACAAGAAAAUCCAAAGAAAAGGACCUCAGGAACAGUGGUUAAGGUUUUCAAUUGAAGAGGAGGACCCCAAAAUGCACACUUAUGGUAUCAUUUAUACGGGGUAUUCUACGAAGCACGUUGUAGAAGGUCUGGAGCCUAGAACGUUGUAUAAAUUUCGAUUAAAGGUCACAAAGCCCUCUGGAGAAUAUCACUAUAGCCCAGUUAUCUCAGUGUCUACGACCAGGGAGCCCAUAAGUAGUGAGCAUUUCCAUCGAGCUGUAAAUGUGAAUGAUGAAGACCUGCUUGUCCAGAUACUUCAAGGAGGCCAUGUUAAGGUUGAUGUUCCAAAUAAGCUUGGCUUUACUGCCCUGAUGGUGGCUGCCCAGAAAGGUUACAUACAACUAGUGAAGAUCCUGAUCGGUAAUGGGACAGAUGUGAACCUGAAGAAUGGAAGUGGGAAGGACAGUCUGAUGCUUGCCUGUUAUGCUGGACACCUGGAUGUUGUCAAAUACCUCAGAGCACAUGGAGCCUCUUGGGAGGCCCAAGACCUGGGAGGCUGCACAGCCUUGCACUGGGCUGCUGAUGGAGGUCACUCUGACAUCAUCGAAUGGAUGAUUAAGGAUGGUUGCAAGAUAGAUGUUUUAGACACUGGUUCGGGAUGGACACCACUGAUGAGAGUAUCUGCAGUAUCAGGAAACAGAGAGGUGGCUUCCCUCUUAAUUGAAGCUGGAGCAGAUGUGAAUGUGAAAGAUAAGGAUGGGAAGACACCCUUAAUGGUACCUUUUUACGGCCCAGGGCCUCACGGUGUCUCUGCACGUAAGGUGGCUGUAUUAAAUAAUCAUGAAGAAUUGGUUCAACUGCUUCUCGAAAAAGGAGCAGAUCCAAGUGUUACAAAUGAGUUUGGCAAAGGUGUCUUGGAGAUGGCCCGCGUGUUUGACAGACAGAACGUGAUCGCCUUGUUAGAAGACCGGAAGGCAAGUCUUGGCCUGAAGAAGACCUCUUUCUUGAGCUGAGCUGAGAGCUGCUCUUCUCAGGACAUGCACGUGAAGGACGCGGCACCUGGACGCAGGGCUUUAGACAAGCCCUUUGUCUGGGAAGGAAGGUCCCAGAUACGUUUGUGAAUUUCAUUUUUGACAAAGGCCACUAACAACUCCCAAUUCUGUCAGUUUCUAAUAUGAUGACAGAGACAAAAGGGAGACUGAGCAUAUGGGUGGGUCAAUGGCUUGAGCCUUUUUUCCCCCAUUGGAAAACCCCAGACCUUUGAUGCAUGUGAUAAUGAGAGCCUGACAAUCAAAGGAAAUUUGGGCACAAAAUGCCAGUUUUUGCAAGUUUUAAUAGACUCACAAAUGUAGGACUGGAGGGUCAUCAAGAGGUCAUCAGGUCCAACCCUGAAGCUGAGACGUGAUUUGAACCUGGGUCUUCCUGGCUCCAAGUUCAACACCCUAUCCCCUGUGCCUGUCCCGAGAGCCUCAGCCCUGGGAAAAGGGUCAGAGUAUUUCCUAAUGUUGCCCUGAUGGGCUCUUCUGUUUGCCCCUUGUAUUCUGUCCUCUUCGGAAAGUAUCACUGGCCAAGGAACUCCCCAAACCAGGAACCACUCCUUCGUCUCUUAGCGCCUUCCAAAGAUGAGUGGGGAUCAAGAAAGAUCAACCAAUCAACAGCGAGAUAGAAACAUCCCCUUUAAAACAGCUCCCUGGGGACACGCGCGCCGCCCUAAGCAAUUGAACAGCCUCUUCGCGCUGUUGCUGCAAGGGUUUUCUAAGUCACGCUUUAUUUAAGUAAAAGGAUUUUGUCCCUACUCUUUGUUUUAAUCUAUCAGGAAACAUUGGUUUCCAGUUUUGUUGCCGAAUCAAACAUCCCACAAACCUUCCCCCUCUGGUUUCUAUCCCAAGGUGAACGCGCAGAAUCAAUCUAGAAUUGGUGUAGCGACCUUCCGUUGACUGGAGGAGCAUUGUCCUGGGAGUCCCUAUCCCAGCCCGCUCCAGAGCCUACUGUCACACCAUCCUAGAGUUCAAAAGGAGGAAAAUGCUUUUGUGACCAUUUUGGGUACAGGGUCUCGCAUACAGUAGGCGCUUCACAGUUGCUGAGUAGGUUGGUUUGGAUUGGUUCCUUCUCACCAGGGCCCAGUGGAUCGCGUGCUGGACAUCUGUCUUUAAUUUGCUCUCUCUCCCCACCCCACCCCAAUAUCUCGGGGACAUCCUCAGCAAGGACAGAGACAAACUGUACCUACAUGUUCACGGUUUAUUGGAUAUAGUAUUCUUAACAACGACGGCUUUUCUAUUGAAACACCAGGUUGUAUUCACCUGUAGCACCUUAAUACAAGGAAUGUGUACAAAAGUAACACCAACUGUAACAUAAGAAAGUUUGUGAAGAAGUCUAGUGAAUAAAAGCUUUGUAAAUGGAUGCAGCAUGCUAGCAGGAACGUGCUGGGGGAGGUGGCCGGCCCCUUCCCUGGACUGACCGGAGACCGGCACCAGCACCAGCACCGGCACUGACCAUUUCAGACAUGACACUUGGCAGUUGCUGCACAUUUGAUAACAAUAGAAUAUUUGUCCACCCCCCCCCUCCUUUCCCUUCCACAGCCAGCCCAUCCAACAGAAAGUCCGGAACUCUUGCCUUAGUCCUGCCUUUGUCAUCAUCUAUGUUAUCUCAGAGCCUUAAAGUGCUUUCUAUGGAAGCCUUCCUGGGACUGCCAAUGACAUCAUUACCCUCAGCCAGCAGCACUCAUACUCUUCACUUCGUAAAAAAAUAAUCAUCGCCUGCCCAUUUGUGGUUCUGCCCUGGCUUAGUUAGACCUGGGAGGAAUUGUGGACUUUGGAAGAAGGAGGCCCUGGAGAAAUUCUGUUAACAAGAGUUGUUUAUGGCAAUGUGGGACAGGGAGCUGUUUACAAGGCAUCCCAAGUCAGCCUGAGGGAUUGAUUUGUUGUGUUCCCCACUGCUGGGUAAUGGGUCUGUUCUCAUACUGCAGGUCUGACACCCUCUGACUCUCAGUAGAUAUUGUCCCUGUGGGUAUGUUUCCAGCCAAAGAUACUAAGUGCAGAUAGAUAGGAAAGAAACCCUUAGGAGCUGAGAAACAUCUCCUGCUAUUGCUCUUCCCAAAAUAUAGAAAGGAACACUUCAUCUUGCGUAAAUUUGGUGAAAUUGAACUUUCAAAUAAUAGGAACAAAGUCAAAUGACUGUCUUAAGAACAAUUUAGGAAGGGGUCUGAAGACCUCUCUCUGCAGGCAAACAGACUCCAUGGAAACAUCUCAGAAUGACAAGGAACAGUAUGGAGGAAACAGAUUUUCACAUCUUUCUCAGACCGUGGCCUUCAUCAUUAUUAACACUGAUGUCUAAUCUCAUUGUAAAACAACAUUGAACUUUGAAGCAGAUGCAUGAAGAGUGCAGAGGUUGGGAAAAUCAGGGAUUUCAGUGUUUGGCUCUCCUGGACAAAGAAUGCUCUCGAGUUUUUUCCAAGGACCCUCUGGAAAUGCAGGCAGCCUUCACUGAGCCCCCUGGUGGGCUCUGAUUUCCUUCAAGGCAGAGCCUUUGUUGAACAGUUCAAUAAUGUCGCAUAUUUGCCAAAGGCCAUGGAAAAUUCUAUGCUUUUGGAACUGUAUGAAUGGGUCUAGCAGAUAAAUCAUCCAGAGGGAAGAGCCAGCAAAGCCAGGGAAUUGAGAUUAUCUGUGAAAUGAUGGCAGCCUGCGGGGAUCACCAGUUUGGCUGAUCCAUUCAGUUUGAGAGGAGCUCUCCAACUAUAUGAGAUACGUGGAAGAAUCAGAACUAGGUUUUCAAGGCUGGGGCAGGACAAGAUGAGCAGCUGAGUUUCAGCAGCAACUUUGUGUGAAGUUUUAUUCAGUGGUUGCCCUUCAUGGGUGAAUGAGGCCCUGUCAGAAGAGGACUUAGCUAGUCAUGGCAGGAGGGCAGGCAGCUGGCUGGUCCAUAGAAUUGUCACAGUGCCUGGAAUUGCCACCAGAAUGCCACUCCUCUGGAUGGAGGUGAUGAACACCAAAGCCCUCAUUGAUCCCCCAUGUGUUUGCUAGUAUGAUGAUGUCAAUCUAGGAAUGGCAAGGCAGAGUAGUGGAUGGAGCAACCCUAACCUCCCGAGUUAAAAUCCAACCUCAGGUACUUACUAGUUUUGUGACCCUGCACAAAUCACAACCUUAGUUUCCUCAUCUGUACA